CCUACGGGUGUCAGCAGUGAGGAAUAUUGGUCAAUGGCCGUAAGGCUGAACCAGCCACGUCGCGUGAAGGAAGAAGGAUCUAUGGUUUGUAAACUUCUUUUAUAGGGGAAUAAAGGUAUCUACGUGUGGAUAUUUGCAUGUAUACUAUGAAUAAGGAUCGGCUAACUCCGUGCCAGCAGCCGCGGUAAUACGGAGGAUGCGAGGGUUAUCCGGAUUUCUUGGGUUUAAAGGGUGUGUAGGUUGUUUUUUAAGUUAGCGGGGAAAGCCCGGGGCCCAACCCCGGCGAGCCGUUGAAACUGUCUGGCUGGAGUGGUCGAGAGGUAAGCGGAAUGCGCAGUGUAGCGGUGAAAGGCGUAGAUAUUGCGAAGAACUCCGAUGGCGAAGGCAGCAUACCGGCGGCUAUCUGACGCUGAGGCACGAAAGCGUGGGGAGCGAACAGGAUUAGAUACCCCGGUAGUC
rnacentral:rRNA from 1 species